rnacentral:rRNA from 1 species
UACGGGGGGUGCAAGCGUUGCUCGGAAUCACUGGGCGUAAAGCGUCCGCAGGCGGCUUGGUAAGUCGGGUGUGAAAGCCCGGGGCUCAACCCCGGAACUGCAUUCGAAACUGCCUGGCUUGAGUACGGGAGAGGGUCGUGGAAUUCCUGGUGUAGAGGUGAAAUUCGUAGAUAUCAGGAGGAACACCGGUGGCGAAAGCGGCGACCUGGCCCGAUACUGACGCUCAUGGACGAAAGCGUGGGGAGCAAACAGG